rnacentral:rRNA from 1 species
CCUGCAGUCGACGGUAACAGGAAGCACUUGCUGCUUCGCUGACGAGUGGCGGACGGGUGAGUAAUGUCUGGGAAACUGCCUGAUGGAGGGGGAUAACUACUGGAAACGGUAGCUAAUACCGCAUAACGUCGCAAGACCAAAGAGGGGGACCUUCGGGCCUCUUGCCAUCGGAUGUGCCCAGAUGGGAUUAGCUAGUAGGUGGGGUAACGGCUCACCUAGGCGACGAUCCCUAGCUGGUCUGAGAGGAUGACCAGCCACACUGGAACUGAGACACGGUCCAGACUCCUACGGGAGGCAGCAGUGGGGAAUAUUGCACAAUGGGCGCAAGCCUGAUGCAGCCAUGCCGCGUGUAUGAAGAAGGCCUUCGGGUUGUAAAGUACUUUCAGCGGGGAGGAAGGCGAUAAGGUUAACAACCUUGUCGAUUGACGUUACCCGCAGAAGAAGCACCGGCUAACUCCGUGCCAGCAGCCGCGGUAAUACGGAGGGUGCAAGCGUUAAUCGGAAUUACUGGGCGUAAAGCGCACGCAGGCGGUCUGUCAAGUCGGAUGUGAAAUCCCCGGGCUCAACCUGGGAACUGCAUUCGAAACUGGCAGGCUAGAGUCUUGUAGAGGGGGGUAGAAUUCCAGGUGUAGCGGUGAAAUGCGUAGAGAUCCGGAGGAAUACCGGUGGCGAAGGCGGCCCCCUGGACAAAGACUGACGCUCAGGUGCGAAAGCGUGGGGGAGCAAACAGGAUUAGAUACCCUGGUAGUCCACGCCGUAAACGAUGUCGACUUGGAGGUUGUGCCCUUGAGGCGUGGCUUCCGGAGCUAACGCGUUAAGUCCAACCGCCUGGGGAAUUACGGCCGCCAAGGUUUAAAAACUCAAAUGAAAUUGACGGGGG